rnacentral:rRNA from 1 species
UGGGGAAUAUUGCACAAUGGAGGGAACUCUGAUGCAGCGACGCCGCGUGAACGAAGAAGGCUUUCGAGUCGUAAAGUUCUUUUAUAUGGGAAGAUAAUGACGGUACCAUAAGAAGAAGCCCCGGCUAACUACGUGCCAGCAGCCGCGGUAAUACGUAGGGGGCUAGCGUUGUCCGGAAUCACUGGGCGUAAAGGGUUCGCAGGCGGAAAUGCAAGUCAGGUGUAAAAGGCAGUAGCUUAACUACUGUAAGCAUUUGAAACUGCAUAUCUUGAGAAGAGUAGAGGUAAGUGGAAUUUUUAGUGUAGCGGUGAAAUGCGUAGAUAUUAAAAAGAAUACCGGUGGCGAAGGCGACUUACUGGGAUCAUUCUGACGCUGAGGAACGACAGCGUGGGUAGCAAACAGG